rnacentral:misc_RNA from 1 species
AAGAGUAUGGGUCCUCACGGGCCCGAACUCCCACCCCAUGUUGUCGCGAACUUCGUUGCCUCGGCGGGCCCGCCCCAGGGCCCCCCGGUCCCCGGACCGGGGCAGCGCCCGCCGACGGUCAAGACACACAACUCUUUUUUUGACAGUGAAGUCUGAGCAAAAUUCUUAAUGAAUCA